GGCUUUGAGUGAUCUGUCUAACACACAGAAGGUCGGCGGUUCGAAUCCGCCCGAAAUCA
rnacentral:tRNA from 1 species